UACGUAGGGACCAAGCGUUGUUCGGAUUUACUGGGCGUAAAGGGCGCGUAGGCGGCGCGGUAAGUCACUUGUGAAAUCUCUGAGCUUAACUCAGAACGGCCAAGUGAUACUGCAGUGCUAGAGUGUGGAAGGGGCAAUCGGAAUUCUUGGUGUAGCGGUGAAAUGCAUAGAUAUCAAGAGGAACACCUGAGGUGAAGACGGGUUGCUGGGCCAACACUGACGCUGAGGCGCGAAAGCCAGGGGAGCAAACGGG
rnacentral:rRNA from 1 species